GACGAACGCUGGCGGCGUGCUUAACACAUGCAAGUCGAACGGAAAGGCCCUGCUUGCAGGGUCCUCGAGUGGCGAACGGGUGAGUAACACGUGGGUGCUCUGCCCUGCACUUCGGGAUAAGCUUGGGCAACUGGGUCUAAUACCGGAUAGGAACCAUCUUUAGUGUGGUGGUUGGAAAGUUUUUUCGGUGUAGGAUGAGCUCGCGGCCUAUAAGCUUGUUGGUGGGGUAAUGGCCUACCAAGGCGGCGACGGGUAGCCGGCCUGAGAGAGUGUACGGCCACAUUGGGACUGAGAGACGGCCCAGACUCCUAAGGGAGGCAGCAGUGGGGAAUAUUGGACAAUGGGCGAAAGCCUGAGGCAGCGACGCCGCGUGGGGGAUGAAGGCCUUCGGGUUGUAAACAACGUUCGCUAGGGACGAAGCUUUGUUGUGACGGUACCUAGAUAAGAAGCACCGGCUAACUACGUG
rnacentral:rRNA from 1 species